rnacentral:rRNA from 1 species
UACGUAGGGUGCGAGCGUUGUCCGGAAUUAUUGGGCGUAAAGAGCUUGUAGGCGGUCUGUCGCGUCUGCUGUGAAAAUCCGGGGCUCAACCCCGGACUUGCAGUGGGUACGGGCAGACUAGAGUGCGGUAGGGGAGACUGGAAUUCCUGGUGUAGCGGUGAAAUGCGCGGAUAUCAGGAGGAACACCGGUGGCGAAGGCGGGUCUCUGGGCCGUAACUGACGCUGAGGAGCGAAAGCGUGGGGAGCGAACAGG